rnacentral:rRNA from 1 species
GUGGAUUAGAUACCCUAGUAGUCCACGCCCUAAACGAUGUCAAUUAGCUGUUGGGGGUUUGAAUCCUUGGUAGCGUAGCUAACGCGUGAAAUUGACCGCCUGGGGAGUACGGCCGCAAGGUUAAAACUCAAAGGAAUUGACGGGGACCCGCACAAGCGGUGGAUGAUGUGGAUUAAUUCGAUGCAACGCGAAAAACCUUACCUACCCUUGACAUGUCCGGAAUCCCGCUGAGAGGUGGGAGUGCCCGAAAGGGAGCCGGAACACAGGUGCUGCACGGUUGUCGUCAGCU